rnacentral:rRNA from 1 species
UACGAAGGGGGCUAGCGUUGCUCGGAAUCACUGGGCGUAAAGCGCACGUAGGCGGCUUUUUAAGUCAGAGGUGAAAUCCUGGAGCUCAACUCCAGAACUGCCUUUGAUACUGGAGAGCUUGAGUCCGGGAGAGGUGAGUGGAACUGCGAGUGAAGAGGUGAAAUUCGUAGAUAUUCGCAAGAACACCAGUGGCGAAGGCGGCUCACUGGCCCGGUACUGACGCUGAGGUGCGAAAGCGUGGGGAGCAAACAGG